rnacentral:rRNA from 1 species
AAGAGUUUGAUCCUGGCUCAGGACGAACGCUGGCGGCGUGCCUAACACAUGCAAGUCGAGCGGAGAUGCCAAGGAGCAAUCCAAGGUGUCUUAGCGGCGGACGGGUGAGUAACACGUGGGUAACCUACCCCAAGGAGGGGGAUAACAGGUCGAAAGACCUGCUAAUACCGCAUAAAGCUUGUGUGUCGCAUGAUACAUAAGCCAAAGGAGGAAUCCGCCUUGGGAUGGGCCCGCGGCCCAUUAGCUAGUUGGUGAGGUAACGGCUCACCAAGGCGACGAUGGGUAGCCGGCCUGAGAGGGUGGUCGGCCACACUGGGACUGAGACACGGCCCAGACUCCUACGGGAGGCAGCAGUGGGGAAUAUUGCGCAAUGGGGGAAACCCUGACGCAGCGACGCCGCGUGAGCGAAGAAGGCC